AUUGAACGCUGGCGGCAGGCCUAACACAUGCAAGUCGAACGAGUGGCGGACGGGUGAGUAAUGUCUGGGAAACUGCCGGAUGGAGGGGGAUAACUACUGGAAACGGGAGCUAAUACCGCAUACCAUCAGAUGUGCCCAGAUGGGAUUCGCUAGUUGGUGGGGUAACGUCUCACCAAGGCGACGAUCCCUAGAUGGUCUGAGAGGAUGACCAGCCACGCUAGGACUGAGACACGUUCCAGACUCCUCCGGGAGGCAGCAUUGGGGAAUAUUGCACCAUGGGCGCAAGCCUGAUGCUGCCAUGCCGCGUGUAUGAAGAAGGCCUUCGGGUUGUAAAGUACUUUCAGCGGGGAGGCGUUACCCGCAGAAGAAGCACCGGCUAACUCCGUGCCAGCAGCCGCGGUAAUUC
rnacentral:rRNA from 1 species